rnacentral:rRNA from 1 species
CCUACGGGUGGCUGCAGUGAGGAAUAUUGGUCAAUGGGCGCGAGCCUGAACCAGCCAAGCAGCGUGAAGGAUGACUGCCCUACGGGUUGUAAACUUCUUUUUUAAAGGAAUAAAGUGAGGCAGGUGUGCCUUUUUGUAUGUACUUUAUGAAUAAGGAUCGGCUAACUCCGUGCAAGCAGCCGCGGUAAUACGGAGGAUCCGAGCUUUAUCCGGAUUUAUGGGGUUUAAGGGGAGCGUAGAUGGGAUGUUAAGUCGGUUGUGAAUGUUUGCGGCUCAACCGUAAAAUUGCAAUUGAUACUGGCAUGCUUGAGUACGGUUGAGGUAGGCGGAAUUCGUGGUGUAGCGGUGAAAUGCUUAGAUAUCACGAAGAACUCCGAUUGCGAAGGCAGCUUACUAAACUGCCACUGACAUUGAUGCUCGAAAGUGUGGGUAUCAAACAGGAUUAGAUACCCCUGUAGUC